rnacentral:rRNA from 1 species
CCUGGCUCAGAUUGAACGCUGGCGGCAUGCCUUACACAUGCAAGUCGAACGGCAGCACGGGAGCUUGCUCCUGGUGGCGAGUGGCGAACGGGUGAGUAAUACAUCGGAACGUACCCAGGAGUGGGGGAUAACGUAGCGAAAGUUACGCUAAUACCGCAUAUUCUGUGAGCAGGAAAGUGGGGGAUCGCAAGACCUCGCGCUCUUGGAGCGGCCGAUGUCGGAUUAGCUAGUUGGUGAGGUAAAAGCUCACCAAGGCGACGAUCCGUAGCAGGUCUGAGAGGAUGAUCUGCCACACUGGGACUGAGACACGGCCCAGACUCCUACGGGAGGCAGCAGUGGGGAAUUUUGGACAAUAGGGGCAACCCUGAUCCAGCCAUGCCGCGUGAGUGAAGAAGGCCUUCGGGUUGUAAAGCUCUUUCGGCGGGGAAGAAAUGGCAACGGCUAAUAUCCGUUGUUGAUGACGGUACCCGCAUAAGAAGCACCGGCUAACUACGUG